rnacentral:rRNA from 1 species
GACGAACGCUGGCGGCGUGCUUAACACAUGCAAGUCGAACGGAAAGGCCCUGCUUUUGUGGGGUGCUCGAGUGGCGAACGGGUGAGUAACACGUGAGUAACCUGCCCUUGACUUUGGGAUAACUUCAGGAAACUGGGGCUAAUACCGGAUAGGAGCUCCUGCUGCAUGGGGGGGGUUGGAAAGUUUCGGCGGUUGGGGAUGGACUCGCGGCUUAUCAGCUUGUUGGUGGGGUCGUGGCUUACCAAGGCUUUGACGGGUAGCCGGCCUGAGAGGGUGACCGGCCACAUUGGGACUGAGAUACGGCCCAGACUCCUACGGGAGGCAGCAGUGGGGAAUAUUGCACAAUGGGCGGAAGCCUGAUGCAGCAACGCCGCGUGCGGGAUGACGGCCUUCGGGUUGUAAACCGCUUUCGCCUGUGACGAAGCGUGAGUGACGGUAAUGGGUAAAGAAGCACCGGCUAACUACGUG